rnacentral:rRNA from 1 species
UACGGAGGGGGCUAGCGUUGUUCGGAAUUACUGGGCGUAAAGCGCACGUAGGCGGCUUUGUAAGUAGAGGUGAAAGCCCGGGGCUCAACUCCGGAAUUGCCUUUAAGACUGCAUCGCUCGAAUUGUGGAGAGGUAAGUGGAAUUCCGAGUGUAGAGGUGAAAUUCGUAGAUAUUCGGAAGAACACCAGUGGCGAAGGCGACUUACUGGACACAUAUUGACGCUGAGGUGCGAAAGCGUGGGGAGCAAACAGG